rnacentral:rRNA from 1 species
AUACGUAGGUGGCAAGCGUUGUCCGGAUUUAUUGGGCGUAAAGGGAGCGCAGGUGGUUUCUUAAGUCUGAUGUGAAAGCCCACGGCUUAACCGUGGAGGGUCAUUGGAAACUGGGGAACUUGAGUGCAGAAGAGGAAAGCGGAAUUCCAUGUGUAGCGGUGAAAUGCGUAGAUAUAUGGAGGAACACCAGUGGCGAAAGCGGCUUUCUGGUCUGUAACUGACACUGAGGCUCGAAAGCGUGGGGAGCAAACAGGAUUAGAUACCCUGGUAGUCCACGCCGUAAACGAUGAGUGCUAAGUGUUGGAGGGUUUCCACCCUUCAGUGCUGGCGUUAACGCAAUAAGCACUCCGCCUGGGGAGUACGACCGCAAGGUUGAA